AGCACAUGUACCAUCUUCCUGUUGCGUACUAUGAGACUGCAUGGCCUUUCUUGUCUCUGUUUCCUCAGAUUGCAAGCACAGCGACAUAGUAGUGUCGUAAUGCAUCAUCACAUGCUAUCUUUGGUAUAUUCUAGAAUUUUAUCACGAGGCAUUGAUCCCACACCUGAGAUUUGCCUCCAUUUGAGACUCAGAAUUUUGCAGCUGUUUUCUCAAUGCAGGAAGAGGUACGAGAGCCUUAGGUUUGUUCUUCCAGUAAAGAGCUUUAUCUAUUUUCUCUUUCUGAAAAUCGUCAAAACAUUAAGUUUUGUAAUGUACUAAUGUAGUGCAUAUUAUUGAACUAUCUUAAAGUGAAGUGAUAGCCUUUGCCACUUUUGGUGGGAGGUUAUUCUCUAUUAAAGAAUGUGGUCUUGCAAAUACCAUUAAAGUGAGAUAUCGGAAUAGCCAAAAACCUGGAUUGGCAGUUUCUUGAUACAAGGAUGUCUUAUUUAGAGUCUCUGUUACUGUGAUAAAACACAAUAAGUAGAGAAAAUUUG
rnacentral:lncRNA from 1 species